rnacentral:rRNA from 1 species
UACGAAGGGGGCUAGCGUUGCUCGGAAUCACUGGGCGUAAAGCGCACGUAGGCGGAUUUUAAGUCAGGGGUGAAAUCCUGGAGCUCAACUCCAGAACUGCCUUUGAUACUGGGAAUCUCGAGUCCGGAAGAGGUGAGUGGAACUGCGAGUGUAGAGGUGAAAUUCGUAGAUAUUCGCAAGAACACCAGUGGCGAAGGCGGCUCACUGGUCCGGUACUGACGCUGAGGUGCGAAAGCGUGGGGAGCAAACAGG